AAAGCUCCGAAACCAACAGCUUCUUCAUAGACUCCGCCGUCUUCGCGUAGAGUUCACGCGUCGCCGGAGCGAGUUGGUUGAGAUUAUUGCUAUUAUUGCUGUUGUUGGAGGAUGAAUUGUUUGGAAACUUCCGGAGUAGUGAGAGUGGGCCCGUAUUUUCUCCGGACACGUCACCGGUGGUGGCCACCACUGCCACUGUAACAACGUCGUCGUCGUCGUCGUCGUUGUUGCUGUUGUUACUGUUAGUCUCCCCUUCCAUCUCAUCCGGAUUUUGUCAUUGUCACGUCAACAUCCCCCUCUUCGUUUUUCUCUUCCUGUUUCGUUUUUCUCUUGUACAGAUUUAAUUUUGGUUUUUUUGUUCUCCUACGAGAGGGAGGAGA